AGUGAACGCUGGCGGUAGGCCUAACACAUGCCAGUCGAACGGCAGCACAGUAAGAGCUUGCUCUUACGGGUGGCGAGUGGCGGACGGGUGAGGAAUACAUCGGAAUCUACUUUUUCGUGGGGGAUAACGUAGGGAAACUUACGCUAAUACCGCAUACGACCUACGGGUGAAAGCAGGGGAACUUCGGACCUUGCGCGAAUGAAUGCGCCGAUGUCGGAUUAGCUAGUUGGGGGGGUAAAGGCCCACCAAGGCGACGAUCCGUAGCUGGUCUGAGAGGAUGAUCAGCCACACUGGAACUGAGACACGGUCAAGACUCCUACGGGAGGCAGCAGUGGGGAAUAUUGGACAAUGGGCGCAAGCCUGAUCCAGCCAUACCGCGUGGGUGAAGAAGGCCUUCGGGUUGUAAAGCCCUUUUGUUGGGAAAGAAAAGCAGCAGGUUAAUACCCCGCUGUUCUGACGGUACCCAAAGAAUAAGCACCGGCUAACUUCGUG
rnacentral:rRNA from 1 species